ensembl:snoRNA
GAGCAAUGAUGACAAGGUUUUACUACAGACCUUUGUAACUACACUUGAUCUGAGCUCG